CCUAGCUUUCCUGGUCUGAUCUUGUUGGGGAGUGCUCCCUUCCCUUGUUGCUGGUUGACAAGAGCAAGGGGGCUUAAGACCCUGACAUCUGGCGCCCAGUGUGGGGCCCCUCAAGGCUGAUCAGCAGCCAAAGCGAAGAGGCAGCUUCAAAACCGAAAGUACCAGCAGAUCGGGCCAAGCGAGUUCCGAGGACCUCCCAAAGGGGGCUCCAAGUAUCCCCCCAAAGAGCCACCGCCUCCGGAUGGCGGGAAAUCUUCCCGGCGCCAUUUUAUGAUACUGGAUGAGCACUCACUGACUCUAACCUUCCCACUCCCUGUAUGGCCUUCCCGGUACACAAGUUUUUAAAACAGGAAAUUUAUCAAGAUGCUA